CCGCCGGCGACCGGCGCACGGGUGAGUAACACGUAUGCAACCUGCCCCUGUCAGGGGGACAACCCGCCGAAAGGCGGGCUAAACCCGCGUACAUGCCACCGGGGCAUCCCGGAGGCAGGAAAGGCUUCGGCCUGACAGGGAUGGGCAUGCGGCGCAUUAGGCAGUAGGCGGGGUAACGGCCCACCUAACCGACGAUGCGUAGGGGUUCUGAGAGGAAGGUCCCCCACACUGGUACUGAGACACGGACCAGACUCCUACGGGAGGCAGCAG
rnacentral:rRNA from 1 species